rnacentral:rRNA from 1 species
CCUGUUUAACAAAAACAUCGUCUUUUGAAACACCCACAUAAAAGAUAAUGCCUGCCCAGUGAAAAUUUUAAACGGCCGCGUUAGCGUGAGCGUGCUAAGGUAGCGUAACAAAUAGCCUUUUAAUUGGAGGCCAGUGAAUGGCAAGACUAGGAAUACCUGUACCCUUUAUGGAAAAAAAACUUUUCAUCUGAGUGAAAAGACUCAGAUAACAAAGGAAGACGAAAAGACCCCGCGGAACUUUACCUUUUCCAGCCUUAGCUGCCCACAAACACAAAAGACAAAAGGUUUGAUUGGGGCAAUCUCGGAACAAACCAAGCUUCCGAUCUCCCUUAAAUAAAUAUCAAUAACACGAUAAGGACAAAAAAGAAGUUA